rnacentral:lncRNA from 1 species
CCAAUACAUUUACCCUAUCAAGAUUCAGUAAUCCACAUCCCCUUUCUUCACGUACAGGCAGAAAUUACAUUGCAACAGAAAAAGAACCAAACAUGAGAACUCAGAGAAACAGCUGUGGAACGGAAACGUGGAAGGAAACUACUGCCAGUUAGUACCACAUUUCUCAAAGAAUACUAGAAGAAUCUACUACUCUACUCUACUCUCUCAGGACAGAUCAGAGAACAGCAGCUUUCAAGAACAAGGUCUGCGCCUGAUGUUCCCUUCUCUCACCAAAACCUCCCACCAGCAAUCCCUCCACUUCAUGGGAGUUUGCACUACUCCUGCUAGCUCUGCUGAAAGCACCCGGGAUGAACAGACUGUGGCCACAUUUUGUUAAGAAAGUCAUUUCUUUAUAUCUCUUAAGUGGUCAUAACUUGUGAGUUCCCAUGGACAGACAAGAGGCGGCAGAGAACCUGGAGGCAGCAGCUGCUGAACAGGAAAGACAAUGCUCAUGCAGGUUUGAGAAAAUGACCUCCCAGCCUAUCACCCCAUGCUCACACAUCAAGGGUUUGAUUUCACUCCAAUACGGAGGAGACCAAGACCACACAGCUCGGUAGUUGAAACUUCCGUGCUCCCCAAUCCAUUCCUGUCACCAUCACUAACCACUGUGGCGGCAGCUCAGACCUUCUUAGAUACUCAUCCAUCCAGCUGGUUAAAUGCUUUGGUUGCUCACUCCCAUUUACAUAUGUCCCUGCAAUAAAAGCCCAAAAACACACACACACAAAGCCUUGUAUAUCGAUAUCUGCAGGAGUAACCUAAGAGUCUUCAGUCUUGUUUUGGGUUCAUCUUCUCAUCCUCUCCUCAUCAUCAUACUAGAGAAAGUCAAGAAAAUCUGGUAUUUCAAGUACUAGGAACUCUUUGAAAAAGAAACUCCUCAACUCCCAUCACUAUUCUCCAGAAAGAAGAGCACAGUACUUGCAAGCAUCUGGGGAAGAAAGGAAAUGAAUGGAUAAACAC